rnacentral:rRNA from 1 species
AGAGUUUGAUCAUGGCUCAGGAUGAACGCUGGAGCGUGGUAGACGGAGAUGAACACAUGCAAGUCGAGCGAGACUCCGGCAGAAGAGACUUCGGUUAAAUCAGUCGGACGAUAGCGGCGGACGGGUGAGUAACGCGUAGGCAAUCUGCCCCGUACAGAGGGAUAGCCGUUGGAAACGACGAGUAAGACCUCAUGAUGCAGCACUUUCACAUGGGAGAGCUGCCAAAGAUUUAUCGGUAUGGGAUGAGCCUGCGUCUGAUUAGCUGGUUGGUGAGGUAACGGCCCACCAAGGCGACGAUCAGUAGCCGACCUGAGAGGGUGAUCGGCCACAUUGGAACUGAGACACGGUCCAAACUCUUUCGGGAGGCAGCAGUGGGGAAUAUUGCACAAUGGAGGGAACUCUGAUGCAGCAACGCCGCGUGAAGGAUGAAGGUUUUCGGAUCGUAAACUUCUGUCCAUGGGGACGAAGAAAGUGACGGUACCCGUGGAGGAAGCCCCGGCUAACUACGUGCCAGCAGCCGCGGUAAUACGUAGGGGGCGAGCGUUAUCCGGAAUUAUUGGGCGUAAAGAGUGCGUAGGUGGCCCACUAAGCGCAGGGUUUAAGGCAAUGGCUUAACUGUUGUUCGCCUUGCGAACUGGAGGGCUUGAGUUCAGGAGAGGAAAGUGGAAUUCCUAGUGUAGCGGUGGAAUGCGUAGAUAUUAGGAGGAACACCGGUGGCGAAGGCGACUUUCUGGACUGAUACUGACACUGAGGCACGAAAGCGUGGGGAGCAAACAGGAUUAGAUACCCUGGUAGUCCACGCCGUAAACGAUGAGCACUAGGUGUCGGGGCCGUAAAGGCUUCGGUGCCGCAGUUAACGCAAUAAGUGCUCCGCCUGGGGAGUAUGCACGCAAGUGUUAAACUCAAAGGAAUUGACGGGGACCCGCACAAGCAGCGGAGCAUGUGGUUUAAUUCGAAGCAACGCGAAGAACCUUACCAGGACUUGACAUCCCCCUGACAGGGCUUUAAAAGGCCCCUUCUUCGGACAGGGGAGACAGGUGGUGCAUGGUUGUCGUCAGCUCGUGUCGUGAGAUGUUGGGUUAAGUCCCGCAACGAGCGCAACCCUUGCCUUUAGUUGCCAUCAUCAAGUUGGGCACUCUAGAGGGACUGCCGGGGACAACUCGGAGGAAGGUGGGGAUGACGUCAAAUCAUCAUGCCCCUUAUGUUCUGGGCUACACACGUGCUACAAUGGCCGGUACAGCAGGAAGCGAAGCCGUGAGGCGGAGCGAACCCCAAAAGCCGGUCCCAGUUCGGACUGCAGGCUGCAACCCGCCUGCACGAAGUCGGAGUUGCUAGUAAUCGCGGAUCAGCACGCCGCGGUGAAUGCGUUCCCGGGUCUUGUACACACCGCCCGUCACACCAUGGAAGUUGGUGGUGCCCGAAGUCGGUCAACAAAUCUACUGCCUAAGGCAAAACCAAUGACUGGGGUGAAGUCGUAACAAGGUAACCGUA